AUCACGGGAGACACACGGCGGGUGCUAACGUCCGUCGUGAAGAGGGAAACAACCCAGACCGCCAGCUAAGGUCCCAAAGUCAUGGUUAAGUGGGAAACGAUGUGGGAAGGCCCAGACAGCCAGGAUGUUGGCUUAGAAGCAGCCAUCAUUUAAAGAAAGCGUAAUAGCUCACUGGUCGAGUCGGCCUGCGCGGAAGAUGUAACGGGGCUAAACCAUGCACCGAAGCUGCGGCAGCGAACGUAUCACUUAAAGCGAUUCAGCGGGUUACGAUUGACGGAGCGAAGCGACGUCAAAGCGUAUACAAAGUCGAGUCGGUUUAAGGAUACGUUCGUUGGGUAGGGGAGCGUUCUGUAAGCCCGUGAAGGUGGCCUGUGAGGGUUGCUGGAGGUAUCAGAAGUGCGAAUGCUGACAUAAGUAACGAUAAAGCGGGUGAAAAGCCCGCUCGCCGGAAGACCAAGGGUUCCUGUCCAACGUUAAUCGGGGCAGGGUGAGUCGACCCCUAAGGCGAGGCCGAAAGGCGUAGUCGAUGGGAAACGGGUUAAUAUUCCCGUACUUGGUGUUACUGCGAAGGGGGGACGGAGAAGGCUAUGUUGGCCGGGCGACGGUUGUCCCGGUUUAAGCGUGUAGGUGUGUGUUCCAGGUAAAUCCGGUUCACUUUAACACUGAGGCGUGAUGACGAGGCACUACGGUGCUGAAGCAACAAAUGCCCUGCUUCCAGGAAAAGCCUCUAAGCAUCAGGUAACAUCAAAUCGUACCCCAAACCGACACAGGUGGUCAGGUAGAGAAUACCAAGGCGCUUGAGAGAACUCGGGUGAAGGAACUAGGCAAAAUGGUGCCGUAACUUCGGGAGAAGGCACGCUGACACGUAGGUGAAGUGAUUUACUCACGGAGCUGAAGUCAGUCGAAGAUACCAGCUGGCUGCAACUGUUUAUUAAAAACACAGCACUGUGCAAACACGAAAGUGGACGUAUACGGUGUGACGCCUGCCCGGUGCCGGAAGGUUAAUUGAUGGGGUCAGCGCAAGCGAAGCUCCUGAUCGAAGCCCCGGUAAACGGCGGCCGUAACUAUAACGGUCCUAAGGUAGCGAAAUUCCUUGUCGGGUAAGUUCCGACCUGCACGAAUGGCGUAAUGAUGGC
rnacentral:rRNA from 1 species